UACGUAGGGUGCAAGCGUUGUCCGGAAUUACUGGGCGUAAAGAGCUCGUAGGUGGCUUGUCGCGUUGUUCGUGAAAACCGGGGGCUUAACCCUCGGCGUGCGGGCGAUACGGGCAGACUUGAGUACUGCAGGGGAGACUGGAAUUCCUGGUGUAGCGGUGGAAUGCGCAGAUAUCAGGAGGAACACCGGUGGCGAAGGCGGAUCUCUGGGCCAUUACUGACGCUGAGGAGCGAAAGCGUGGGGAGCGAACAGG
rnacentral:rRNA from 1 species